rnacentral:rRNA from 1 species
AGAGUUUGAUCCUGGCUCAGAUUGAACGCUGGCGGCAGGCCUAACACAUGCAAGUCGAGCGGUAACACAGAGAGCUUGCUCUCGGGUGACGAGCGGCGGACGGGUGAGUAAUGUCUGGGAAACUGCCUGAUGGAGGGGGAUAACUACUGGAAACGGUAGCUAAUACCGCAUAACGUCGCAAGACCAAAGUGGGGGACCUUCGGGCCUCAUGCCAUCAGAUGUGCCCAGAUGGGAUUAGCUAGUAGGUGGGGUAAUGGCUCACCUAGGCGACGAUCCCUAGCUGGUCUGAGAGGAUGACCAGCCACACUGGAACUGAGACACGGUCCAGACUCCUACGGGAGGCAGCAGUGGGGAAUAUUGCACAAUGGGCGCAAGCCUGAUGCAGCCAUGCCGCGUGUAUGAAGAAGGCCUUCGGGUUGUAAAGUACUUUCAGCGAGGAGGAAGGCAUUAAGGUUAAUAACCUUGGUGAUUGACGUUACUCGCAGAAGAAGCACCGGCUAACUCCGUGCCAGCAGCCGCGGUAAUACGGAGGGUGCAAGCGUUAGUCGGAAUUACUGGGCGUAAAGCGCACGCAGGCGGUCUGUCAAGUCGGAUGUGAAAUCCCCGGGCUCAACCUGGGAACUGCAUUCGAAACUGGCAGGCUAGAGUCUUGUAGAGGGGGGUAGAAUUCCAGGUGUAGCGGUGAAAUGCGUAGAGAUCUGGAGGAAUACCGGUGGCGAAGGCGGCCCCCUGGACAAAGACUGACGCUCAGGUGCGAAAGCGUGGGGAGCAAACAGGAUUAGAUACCCUGGUAGUCCACGCCGUAAACGAUGUCGACUUGGAGGUUGUGCCCUUGAGGCGUGGCUUCCGGAGCUAACGCGUUAAGUCGACCGCCUGGGGAGUACGGCCGCAAGGUUAAAACUCAAAUGAAUUGACGGGGGCCCGCACAAGCGGUGGAGCAUGUGGUUUAAUUCGAUGCAACGCGAAGAACCUUACCUACUCUUGACAUCCAGAGAACUUAGCAGAGAUGCUUUGGUGCCUUCGGGAACUCUGAGACAGGUGCUGCAUGGCUGUCGUCAGCUCGUGUUGUGAAAUGUUGGGUUAAGUCCCGCAACGAGCGCAACCCUUAUCCUUUGUUGCCAGCGAUUAGGUCGGGAACUCAAAGGAGACUGCCAGUGAUAAACUGGAGGAAGGUGGGGAUGACGUCAAGUCAUCAUGGCCCUUACGAGUAGGGCUACACACGUGCUACAAUGGCAUAUACAAAGAGAAGCGACCUCGCGAGAGCAAGCGGACCUCAUAAAGUAUGUCGUAGUCCGGAUUGGAGUCUGCAACUCGACUCCAUGAAGUCGGAAUCGCUAGUAAUCGUAGAUCAGAAUGCUACGGUGAAUACGUUCCCGGGCCUUGUACACACCGCCCGUCACACCAUGGGAGUGGGUUGCAAAAGAAGUAGGUAGCUUAACCUUCGGGAGGGCGCUUACCACUUUGUGAUUCAUGACUGGGGUGAAGUCGUAACAAGGUAACCG